GCCGUAGGGCGCGAGCGUUGUCCGGAUUUAUUGGGCGUAAAGAGCUCGUAGGCGGCUUGUCGCGUCGUUCGUGAAAACCCGGGGCUCAACUCCGGGCUUGCGGGCGAUACGGGCAGGCUAGAGUUCGGUAGGGGAGACUGGAAUUCCUGGUGUAGCGGUGGAAUGCGCAGAUAUCAGGAGGAACACCGGUGGCGAAGGCGGGAUCCUGGGCCAGUACUGACGCUGAGGAGCGAAAGCGUGGGGAGCAAACAGG
rnacentral:rRNA from 1 species